UACGGGGGGGGCAAGGGUUGUUCGGAAUUACUGGGCGUAAAGGGCGCGUAGGCGGUUCGCUAAGUUGAAUGUGAAAACUCUGGGCUUAACCCAGAGCCUGCAUCCAAAACUGGCGAACUGGAGUACUGGAGGGGAAAGCGGAAUUCCUGGUGUAGCGGUGAAAUGCGUAGAUAUCAGGAGGAACACCGGUGGCGAAGGCGGCUUUCUGGACAGUAACUGACGCUGAGGCGCGAAAGCCGGGGGAGCAAACAGG
rnacentral:rRNA from 1 species